ensembl:lincRNA
CUGGACUCUACUUCUGCUUCCACAGGCUCUCACUGCUAGAGCGGACUGAUUCCUCUCCUCACUUCCCCACAGGCAUUCCGGUCUGGUCUUCUUCCAGAAGAAGGAUCCUCGUAUCUUGAAUGUUCUUUCUCCAUCUACCCCACCAUGUCCCACCACCAUAUAUCCGAAUGGUGUGCGAUCAUCAAGGUCCACCUUUGUCACCGCUGCGAUUCCCGUGGAUCCUGCCUUCCUCGGGACUUCUCUAGAGCAGGCCUCAGCAAAAAUGUCACCUCCUCAGAGAAGCCCUCCAUGAUCACCUGUCUAAAGGGGUCUCUACCCCUGCUUGCAGUCUCAUCCACUGUCAGCCAUGUGACUGAGCCACUUCAGACACCCGGCUCAGGCCUCGAGAUGACCGUGGCUCUAGCUGAUGGCUCUAGCUGACUGUAAGGACAGGAGACUUCCACUGCGAACCACCCAGCAGAGCCUUGUCAGCUCACUGACCCGAGGGAGGUAAGCUAUUAUUGUAAGCCAGAGUGGUAGCUAAUUUCACUUCAGUACACCUACCUCACGGGGGGGGGGGGGGGGCAUCCUUCUUAUUUUUUAAUUUUUUAAAAAUUUUAAUCACUUGGUGCUCAUCACAAGUUCCCUCCUUAAUCCCCAUCGCCUAUUUCCCUGCACUCCUACCCACCUCCCCUCUGGUCACCGUCUGUUUGUUCUCUAUAGUUAAGAGUCUGUUUCUUGGUUUUUCUCUUUUUCCUUUUCCCUUAGCUCAUUUUUUUUUUUCCUUAAACUCCACAUAUGAGUGAAAUCCUACGGUGUUUGCCUUUCUCGGACGGACUUGUUUCACGUACAGUACCAUUCUCUAGCUCCGUCCAUGUCGCUGCCAAUGGCAAGAUUUCAUUCUUUUUAUGGCAGAGUAAUGUUCCAUUGUAUAUAUACUCCACACCUGUUUUAUCCGUUCAUCCGCCGAUGGACACUUGGGCUGUCUCCAUAUUUGGCUAUGGUAGAUAGAGCUGCUAUAAACAUAGGGGUGCAUGUAUCCCUCUGAAUUAGUGCUUUUUUAUUCUUUGGGUAAAUACCCUGUAGGGCGAUGGCUGGGUUGUAGGGUACUUCUAUUUUUAAGUUUUGAGGAACCGAGGAGGGACAGUCUUAUCCUCUUUAGAAACGAGGAAAUGAAGCCACAGGGAGUCUGUUUAUCCCUGCAGCCUAGAUGCUAGGACGCAUUUCUAGCCUCAUUUGGUAGAGGAUAAACUGAGGUCCUCGGUGGUGAAAAAGCUUGCCUGGGAGUCGUUGCUGGUGGCUUUGGGGUUGCUGAGAGGCCCAAAGCCCUCAAGGCCUGAGCCGCCAGCCUCCAGCCUCCAGCCUCGCCACUUUUCAGGCCUCCUGUCACAGGAGGGCCGUUUUCCAGCGGCCGUCUGCGUUUCUCACCUUCCCAGGGAGCCCCACCCUCGCCGAGCCAGCACCAGGGGCUGACAUUUUGUGAGCUGUGCUAGGAACAGGACUGGGCAAAAAUAAACUCCAGAUGGAGCAAAGAGCUAAACAAACAAAAAGAAACUAAGAUAGAAUAUUUGCGGAAUAUAUAGGAGAAUCUUUUUGUCAUCUUGGGGAGUGUCAGCCUUCCUCACCAAGUCGCCAAACCCAGAAAAGAUGGACACUCUUGACAACAUAAAAAAAAAAAAAGCCCUUCAGAUCGACAAAAGGCACACUGAAUGGAGGGAAACGCCAUCAUAGACGAGAGAAAACUUUUUCUUCGUACCUCACAAAGAGUUAAUAUUCAAACUAUUCAAUGAGAAGAAGUUAAAGUGCCGAAUUUAAAAAAUGAGCAAAGGAUGGAAGACAAUUCCGAGAAGACCACUGUAACUGGCCAUCAACCUUUAAAAACGUACUUGGCUGUAUCUUGCAUGGUAAGGGAAAGGCACUUUGUUAAAAACUCCAAUGGACAAUUUUUUUUAAAAAUUGGCGGAACCACAUGGUAUCGGGGAUGCAGGUCAAAAGGCAUUCUCAGACCUGGCUGGUAUUUGUCCACAAGGGGCUCAUGUCCACAAGGGGCAUGAAGUUUUCCCACGAACCUUCUAGAAGUGUGCCAUUCCACAGGGUAGCCAUUCACACCAGAUUUCAAAGACUUGAUAGGAAAAAGGCAAUGUAAAACACCUCAUUGCUGAUUUUCUAGGAUGGCUAACCGGUUGAAAUGAUAAUCUCCUGAUAUAUUGAA